rnacentral:rRNA from 1 species
UGCAGGAAGAAGGCCUUCCGGUAGUAAACUCCUUUUGUGGGGAACGAACCGGUUCUGGUUGAUACGCGGGGAUAAUGACGGUACCGUAAGAAUAAGCGCCGGCUAACUACGUGCCAGCAGCCGCGGUAAUACGUAGGGUGCAAGCGUUAUUCGGAAUUACUGGGCGUAAAGCGUUCGCAGGCGGUUUUGUAAGACAGGCGUGAAAUCCCCGGGCUCAACCUGGGAAUGGCGCUUGUGACUGCAAAGCUGGAGUGCGGCAGAGGGGGAUGGAAUUCCGCGUGUAGCAGUGAAAUGCGUAGAUAUGCGGAGGAACACCGAUGGCGAAGGCAAUCCCCUGGGCCUGCACUGACGCUCAUGCACGAAAGCGUGGGGAGCAAACAGGAUUAGAUACCCUGGUAGUCCACGCCCUAAACGA